GCCGGGAUGGCGGAACUGGUAGACGCGCUGGACUCAAAAUUCAGUGGGGUGACCCGUGUGGGUUCGAGUCCCACUCCCGGCACCA
rnacentral:tRNA from 1 species